rnacentral:rRNA from 1 species
AUACGUAGGGGGCGAGCGUUGUCCGGAAUUACUGGGCGUAAAGGGUGCGUAGGCGGUUGCUUAAGUUGGAUGUGAAAUACCCGGGCUUAACUUGGGGGGUGCAUUCAAAACUGGGCGACUAGAGUUCAGGAGAGGGAAGCGGAAUUCCUAGUGUAGCGGUGAAAUGCGUAGAUAUUAGGAGGAACACCAGUGGCGAAGGCGGCUUUCUGGACUGACACUGACGCUGAGGCACGAAAGCGUGGGGAGCAAACAGGAUUAGAUACCCUGGUAGUCCACGCUGUAAACGAUGAAUACUAGGUGUAGGGGGUAUCAACUCCCUCUGUGCCGCAGCUAACGCAAUAAGUAUUCCGCCUGGGGAGUACGGCCGCAAGGUUGAA